UGAAACUGCGAAUGGCUCAUUACAUCAGUUAUAAUUUAUUUGAUAAUCGAAAGUUACAUGGAUAACCGUGACAAAUUACAGCUAAUACAUGCAGUCAGACCUGGUCCAAGGGUCGUAAUUAUUAGUAUUAAACCAUUUCCGCAAGGAGUGUGAUGAAUCAUAAUAAUCGAACGAAUCGCCUGGUGUGCGAUAAAUCAUUCAAGUUUCUGCCCUAUCAGCUUUGGAUGGUAGUGUAUUGGACUACCAUGGCAGUCACGGGUAACGGAGAAUUAGGGUUCGAUUCCGGAGAGGGAGCCUGAGAAACGGCUACCACAUCUACGGAAGGCAGCAGGAGCGAAAAUUGCCCAAUCCCGACACGGGGAGGCAGUGACGAGAAAUAACAACUCUUGGUUAUUCUAAGAAGUGUAAUGAGGAUAAUUUAAAACCCUUACCGAAAGCAAUUGGAGGGCAAGUCUGGUGCCAGCAGCCGCGGUAAUUCCAGCUCCAAUAGCGUAUAUUAAAGUUGUUGCAGUUAAAAAGCUCGUAGUUGAAGUUCUGGCUGUUCGAUCCUCGAGCUCUGUAGCCGAGGACUCGACAGUCAUCCGCUUGCGAAUAUCGUUCGCCUUUNNNCGGGUGGCUAUAUGAGUAAGCAAUUUACCUUGAGAANNNCAGAGUGUUCNNNNCAGGUUUGUCCGGAAUGCAUUAGCAUGGA
rnacentral:rRNA from 1 species